AUUGAACGCUGGCGGCAGGCCUAACACAUGCAAGUCGAGCGGUAGAGAGAAGCUUGCUUCUCUUGAGAGCGGCGGACGGGUGAGUAAUGCCUAGGAAUCUGCCUGGUAGUGGGGGAUAACGUUCGGAAACGGACGCUAAUACCGCAUACGUCCUACGGGAGAAAGCAGGGGACCUUCGGGCCUUGCGCUAUCAGAUGAGCCUAGGUCGGAUUAGCUAGUUGGUGAGGUAACGGCUCACCAAGGCGACGAUCCGUAACUGGUCUGAGAGGAUGACCAGUCACACUGGAACUGAGACACGGUCCAGACUCCUACGGGAGGCAGCAGUGGGGAAUAUUGGACAAUGGGCGAAAGCCUGAUCCAGCCAUGCCGCGUGUGUGAAGAAGGUCUUCGGAUUGUAAAGCACUUUAAGUUGGGAGGAAGGGUUGUAGAUUAAUACUCUGCAAUUUUGACGUUACCGACAGAAUAAGCACCGGCUAACUCUGUGCCAGCCGCCGCGGUAA
rnacentral:rRNA from 1 species